GGUAGCCUAGUGGUUAGAGGCAGGUAGCCUAGUGGUUAGAGGCAGGUAGCCUAGUGGUUAGAGGCAGGUAGCCUAGUGGUUAGAGGCAGGUAGCCUAGUGGUUAGAGGCAGGUAGCCUAGUGGUUAGAGGCAGGUAGCCUAGUGGUUAGAGGCAGGUAGCCUAGUGGUUAGAGGCAGGUAGCCUAGUGGUUAGAGGCAGGUAGCCUAGUGGUUAGAGGCAGGUAGCCUCGUGGUUAGAGGCAGGUAGCCUCGUGGUUAGAGGCAGGUAGCCUAGUGGUUAGAGGCAGGUAGCCUAGUGGUUAGAGGCAGGUAGCCUAGUGGUUAGAGGCAGGUAGCCUAGUGGUUAGAGACAGGUAGCCUAGUGGUUAGAG